CAAGUCGGACGCGAAAGUUCCCUUCGGGGGGCAAGUAGAGUGGCGCACGGGUGAGUGACACGUAGGUAAUCUACCUUUGGAUUGGGAAUAACCACCGGAAACGGUGGCUAAUACCGAAUAAUGCAGCGGCACCUAAUGGUGACAGUUGUUAAAGCGGGGGAUCGUAAGACCUCGCGUCUGAAGAGGAGCCUGCGGCAGAUUAGCUAGUUGGUAAGGUAACGGCUUACCAAGGCGAUGAUCUGUAGCCGGCCUGAGAGGGCGGUCGGCCACACUGACACUGACAUACGGGUCAGACUCCUACGGGAGGCAGCAGUCGGGAAUUUUGGGCAAUGGGCGAAAGCCUGACCCAGCAACGCCGCGUGAAGGAUGAAAUCCUUCGGGAUGUAAACUUCGCAAGAACGGGAAGAAUAAGUAAGAGUUAAUAUCUCUUACGAUGACGGUACUGUUUGUAAGCUCCGGCUAACUCCGUGCCAGCAGCCGCGGUAAUACGGGGGGAGCAAGCGUUGUUCGGAUUUACUGGGCGUAAAGGGCGCGUAGGCGGCCACCGCGAGUCGACUGUGAAAUCUCCGGGCUUAACCCGGAAAGGUCAGCCGAUACUGCGGGGCUAGAGUGCAGAAGGGGCAACUGGAAUUCUCGGUGUAGCGGUGAAAUGCGUAGAUAUCGAGAGGAACACCUGCGGCGAAGGCGGGUUGCUGGGCUGACACUGACGCUGAUGCGCGAAAGCUAGGGGAGCGAACGGGAUUAGAUACCCCGGUAGUCCUAGCCUUAAACGAUGAAUGCUUGGUGUCUGGGGUUUUAUAGUCCCCGGGUGCCGUCGCUAACGCUUUAAGCAUUCCGCCUGGGGAGUACGGUCGCAAGACUGAAACUCA
rnacentral:rRNA from 1 species